UUUGCACAGAGCGAACACUCUUUUUCUUUCUCCUCCCCGAAGAAACCUAAUUGCUCAGUACAGUGAACCAUAAGGGUUCCAUAUUCAACAAAGAAGAGAAGAAAAACUCAAUUCACAUCACCAGCAAGUGUGCCUCCAUUAUAUUGGACUCUUCGAUUCGCGAGGAUAUUCCGCAAGAGCUUGAUUCAAAAAUACCUGGAGUAGAUAUUCAAUGAUUGGGUGCAAUUGCAUCAACAAAUGAAGAAAAUGCGGAGCCACAGAUUCAGAUAGGGACUGAUGAUAAGGUAAAAUAGAUAAAAGAUUAGAGCCUAUGCAUACCGGACCUUUGGUCGAGAAGGUAAGACUUCAAGGUAAGACUUCACUUUGGUAUAUUGGGUUUGGUUUUCUAAUGAGGUUUACUUUAUGAGAAUAUCUUUUAAUUUGUGUUUAUUUACAUUAUUUACAGUAUAUAUAUUGGUCAAAGUCUUUAUUGUGGUUUUCAGUUCAUAUGAUUGCUUCAAUUUUUUUUUUGUUCUUUAAGAAAAUGAAGAAUUUUUAACCGCCCUCAUCUGUUUACAUUCACAGUUUGCUCAAGCUUUUGGUGAUUUAGUUUUAGUGAACAUAUUUUAAUGUCUUAGGAAAUGUUUGGCAUUGGCAGUUUAUUCGAUUUUCCUUUGAGCCACUCCACUUACAUUAUACUUGGAUUUAUUGCUUUGAGAAGUAUAGCUCAUAAAAAGAUCAUAAUAUUCCUAAGAGAGAUAGGUGAUCCAGAGAAGCUACUAAGAAAGCAUAUCUAAUGGUGGACUAUUACGAGAUAUAAAGUUCUUAUGCAACAUGAGUGUGGUUUAAAUUCACAAAGUCAUCUAUAUUUUCAGUAGCAGAUGUUGGUGAUGGGAGAUGCUGGGAAGGUCGGGUUAUGACUGUAAAAGAGAAUUUUCUAGAGUUUCCUGAUAGCCGAUGCGAUAUAUAUACCACAAAUAUAUGAUCAACAUAAUUUUCAGUUUUGUGCAGGAUAGGAGGGUGGGAUUCUUAUAAGUAUGUUGUGGGAGUGAAAGUAAUCAAUUGAAGUAUGUGCGCUUGGAUGGUUUUCGUUUGACUAUCUUUUAUCCCAUGCGAGAUAUAUACUAGAGGAGGAAUCACAAAUCUCACAAAUUCCUUAAGAUUUAAUUCCUUACCUGCACUCUAAAACCCGUUCAUUGCAAAUGUUGCAAACGGGUUACCUGCUCUUAUAAUUUAUAUAUUUUACUUCUUGGAUGAUCAUGUACUCGCAAAAGAAGUUGAAUGCUCAAACUUUACCAUGAUGCAUUGCCACGAAGUGAAGCUAUUAAACAUGGGUUAGGACUUGAAAGAAGAAAACCAUCUUAAUACCUAAGUGGCAACAAAUUGUGACUGCAGUGGUUAUGUCCAUGUAUGUUAAAAAUUGUAUUGUCGAUUUCGCAGAAGCACUCGCUGCUAAGAUGCCGGGAGAUCUCAAGGUUGUACUUUUAUUUUAGAUGGUAGGAAGACCAUUGUUGAUAUAAUCAGUAUCCAGAUUAAGGUAACUUCUGCUCAUGGCGUUUUUUUACUGUUCAUGCUAGCUAUACAUCUUAUCUCUUCUCGCAUGGCUUCUUUGACUUUAUUUCAAAAUAGUAAUAAAGUGGCAGAAAAUAUAUUCUACGCUCUUUAUGAAUUAGUUCACAUGCAGUGAUCAACAUCCAUUUAUUGUGAACCAUUUUCUGGAAAUUUCAGCCUCACCCUCAGUAUGGAAACCUAGCCAAGUCUGGAAGCUAAGUGCAGGUUUUUCUUUUAUUUUGAAUCAUAAGUAAAUACAUGCGUGUGUCUCAAGUUGAUUUAUUAUCUUUAAGAGUAAUCUACGAAGACAGGAAUCAGAAAACCUAUAGAGAUUUACUGGAGGACGUAUGUGAAUUUGAGUUUCUUCUAAUGUAAUAAUAGCAUACAUGAUCAGAAGAAUCAUAGUAAGCAAAUUUGGAAGGAAUAAAACCAAAGUCUUUAUUUUGUCAAAAUUGAGUGAUAAAGAGAGAUAGAUGGUAUGCUGGAUACUUGCACGAAUGUCGUGCGCAACAAAUAAUAGGUAGCAUUUUUUAAUAUAUAGUGGUACUUGCAGGGGAAGAGCGGUUACUAUUACGCAACUUUCUGCAGUUUCUCAUCAAGGAAAAGGCGAGUUUGUGGAGACAUUGCUACCGUUACACUUCUUAUGUAAAUUCUUAGAUAUGGGAAUAUUUGAUUGUUAAGUUUUUACUUCCAGUUUUUGCUUUUAAGAUUCCGUACUAGGUCAAGUAUCAACAUUAUCAUUUUCUGUACAGUAUUAUUCUAUAGCUCCGAAAGUAAAGAAAACUUGUAGAAUGGAGCUAAGGAAAAGCUUCGGCAAUUGUACGCAUAGCCAAAUAAUAUAAAUGUUAACUAGAUUCUCUUUAACUACUCGAAUCACUUACUGUAGUGAGUAACGUGGACCAUACGGGGAAAUGAAACAAAGUCAAAGUUGGGGGAUAGAGAGUCGUUGAAGAGGAAGAGGAGAUAAGGUGGAGAUUAAUGGAAGUUUAUAGCAUCCCGUAAGACCAUGUGACCAGAUUUGGGUAUUAUCUUUGUACAGGGACAUGUUGGUACAAUCACCCAAGGAGAACUAAAAGAACAGUAUAUAAUGAAAUAGAGAUGAUGGAUCAGGGAAGAGGUAAUAUUGAUGCUUACGGUUGCCAUCUUGAUCCUAAUUUAUUGGAGGUAAUUACUCCCUAACUUUUUUUCUCUUAGUUUGAAGGAAAAGUAAAUGAAAAGUUGAAAGCAUAAUUUUUUUCUCUGUGUAAUUAUGGCAUUCAAAGUUUAUUUUUUGAUUCAAGAUAUCUCCCAAAAAUUCUCUUACAGGAUCUACUGGGUUCACUUUGAAUAACAUAGUCUUAUAUGCAUAUGGCUGUCUUAGAAAUUAGAGCUUGACUAAGCCAGGUAAUACUUGGAUAGAGAGCUUUCCACGUGCAUUUUGCUGAACUUCAGAUCGUAAUAGUCCAUUGAGAUCCGACAAACAUUUAAUUGUAGUUUGUUUGAUCCUUUGAGCAGAAACAACUUCAGGCUUAUUUCAACUGAAAGGUGCAACUGACUUGGAUACAUUUGAGUUGUACAUGUUGAUUAGUGUAUGUUUGUUGAGCAUAGUUGAUAACUCAGCCUGAAUAAAGUCUUAACUCUAAUCAACUUUGCAAAACAAUGAAACACUCAACAACGUCAUUUGCAGGUUCCCAUCAAUUUCCUGCCUUUUUCAGAUUUUCUUUUGCAAGUUUGGAGGAAAGAGCAGUUGCUAACUGAACCAGGCUUCACGCUUCUUUGGUAUUUCGACCACUUGCUUGUGUCAGGAUUCAGUAUUCGCAAGUUCUCUCGACAACAUUAUUUCAGCAGAAAAGCCAUUCUCAGCUGGAUACUUGCAUUCGGUUACUGAAUAGAAAUCAGGUUUUUGCUUGAGCUCUUCAAACUGAACUGGUGCUUAUGAGGCUUCAUCUAUUUGUGAAGAAGCUUUGUAAAGUACCCACGGUGUUUCCAGCCAAGACAUUGAGGCCCCAUAUGCCUCCUUAGUUUGUUUGUGUUGGCAGUGGAAAAUUAUAUUACCAAGCUCUUGCAGGGUUUUCAGACUUCUUGGUUUGUUUACUAUGGUAGGUUGUCUUAAAUCUUAAUGCCGGUAGCUGAUUUUCACAUUACAGUAUGAGAAGGUUUAAGGUCUUUAGGUCCUUUGUAAGUGCAUCUUUCAUUAAUUAGUUAGCUAAUCAGUAGAGGUAAUUUGUUUCUUUUUUACACCAUGUUGCAGUGUUGUUAAAGAGUAUUAAACAAACUGAAAUUUAUUUUCAGUCAUCGGCAAUGAUAUGAUGGAAAAUGCUUAGAAUUCUAUAUAUUAUACCUAAAUAUCUUUUUUUUGUUUU